rnacentral:rRNA from 1 species
AUUAGGAAUCUUGCACAAUGGGGGAAACCCUGAUGCAGCGACGUCGCGUGGAGGAUGACGGCCCUCGGGUUGUAAACUCCUUUUAGCAGGGAAGAAAAAAAUGACGGUACCUGCUGAAUAAGCCCCGGCUAACUACGUGCCAGCAGCCGCGGUAAUACGUAGGGGGCGAGCGUUGUCCGAAGUUACUGGGCGUAAAGCGCGCGUAGGCGGCUUUUUAAGUUUGGGGUGAAAGGUUCAACGCUCAACGUGAACAGUGCCUCGGAUACUGGAAGGCUUGAGUUCGGGAGAGGGCAGUGGAAUUCCUGGUGUAGCGGUGAAAUGCGUAGAUAUCAGGAGGAACACCGGUGGCGAAGGCGACUGCCUGGCCUAGAACUGACGCUGAGGCGCGAAAGCGUGGGGAGCGAACGG